GGGCCCGUGGCUCAGGGGAUACGGCACCGGCCUUCGGAGCCGGGUUUCCCGGGUUCGAAUCCCGGCGGGCCCGCCA
rnacentral:tRNA from 1 species